GCAAGUCGAGCGGUAACAGGAAUUAGCUUGCUAAUUCGCUGACGAGCGGCGGACGGGUGAGUAAUGCUUGGGAAUAUGCCUUAUGGUGGGGGACAACAGUUGGAAACGACUGCUAAUACCGCAUAACGUCUACGGACCAAAGGGGGGGAUCUUCGGACCUCUCGCCAUUUGAUUAGCCCAAGUGGGAUUAGCUAGUUGGUGAGGUAAUGGCUCACCAAGGCAACGAUCCCUAGCUGGUUUGAGAGGAUGAUC
rnacentral:rRNA from 1 species